rnacentral:rRNA from 1 species
GACGAACGCUGGCGGCGUGCUUAACACAUGCAAGUCGAACGGAAAGGCCCUGCUUUUGUGGGGUGCUCGAGUGGCGAACGGGUGAGUAACACGUGAGUAACCUGCCCUUGACUUUGGGAUAACUUCAGGAAACUGGGGCUAAUACCGGAUAGGAGCUCCUGCUGCAUGGUGGGGGUUGGAAAGUUUCGGCGGUUGGGGAUGGACUCGCGGCUUAUCAGCUUGUUGGUGGGGUAGUGGCUUACCAAGGCUUUGACGGGUAGCCGGCCUGAGAGGGUGACCGGCCACAUUGGGACUGAGAUACGGCCCAGACUCCUACGGGAGGCAGCAGUGGGGAAUAUUGCACAAUGGGCGGAAGCCUGAUGCAGCAACGCCGCGUGCGGGAUGACGGCCUUCGGGUUGUAAACCGCUUUCGCCUGUGACGAAGCGUGAGUGACGGUAAUGGGUAAAGAAGCACCGGCUAACUACGUGCCAGCAGCCGCGGUGAUACGUAGGGUGCGAGCGUUGUCCGGAUUUAUUGGGCGUAAAGGGCUCGUAGGUGGUUGAUCGCGUCGGAAGUGUAAUCUUGGGGCUUAACCCUGAGCGUGCUUUCGAUACGGGUUGACUUGAGGAAGGUAGGGGAGAAUGGAAUUCCUGGUGGAGCGGUGGAAUGCGCAGAUAUCAGGAGGAACACCAGUGGCGAAGGCGGUUCUCUGGGCCUUUCCUGACGCUGAGGAGCGAAAGCGUGGGGAGCGAACAGGCUUAGAUACCCUGGUAGUCCACGCUGUAAACGGUGGGUACUAGGUGUGGGGUCCAUUCCACGGGUUCCGUGCCGUAGCUAACGCUUUAAGUACCCCGCCUGGGGAGUACGGCCGCAAGGCUAAAACUCAAAGGAAUUGACGGGGCCCCGCACAAGCGGCGGAGCAUGCGGAUUAAUUCGAUGCAACGCGUAGAACCUUACCUGGGUUUGACAUGGAUCGGGAGCGCUCAGAGAUGGGUGUGCCUCUUUUGGGGUCGGUUCACAGGUGGUGCAUGGCUGUCGUCAGCUCGUGUCGUGAGAUGUUGGGUUAAGUCCCGCAACGAGCGCAACCCUUGUUCACUGUUGCCAGCACGUUAUGGUGGGGACUCAGUGGAGACCGCCGGGGUCAACUCGGAGGAGGGUGGGGAUGACGUCAAGUCAUCAUGCCCCUUAUGUCCAGGGCUUCACGCAUGCUACAAUGGCUGGUACAGAGAGUGGCGAGCCUGUGAGGGUGAGCGAAUCUCGGAAAGCCGGUCUCAGUUCGGAUUGGGGUCUGCAACUCGACCUCAUGAAGUCGGAGUCGCUAGUAAUCGCAGAUCAGCAACGCUGCGGUGAAUACGUUCCCGGGGCU